rnacentral:misc_RNA from 1 species
GGCAGACCAUGUGUCGUACCAAGUCACAGGACAUCUAGCAGCCUUCUGUUCACGACGCAUUUUGCCUUAGCCUUUUGCCGCGCCUUUACGACUACCAACAUGAUGAAAUCUGUCGGUCUUGUCCUUCUUCUCAUUGCAACCUUUGCCUACUCCGGUGUGGGGUCUCUUGUAAAAGAGAGAAAGUCGACCCAAAGCAUCAAAAAACCCGUUGUAAGUUCAAACUGUGGAUCUUCAGUGGCGAAAGCCAUAUUUGAGGAUAAAGUCCUCAAUGAUGCCUUGAGCGCCUGCAAGUCGGAUCCAAAGGGAAGAGCAGCCUUGACUGCCCUCAGAGCCCAAGCUACCUGCAGGGACUACGAGAUCAAGGAGGACAAUGGCGGCAAGUGCGAUGACGUUGCAGCUCCCUACAUGAAAUGUGUAGCUGGAAAACUUGGUUACUUGAAAGCUGAUGGCUCUAUCGACGGCGCCAAGAUCUUAGACCGGUACAGUGGUGUCGCCGUCGCUCGCGGUACUCUCUGCAAAAAUCAGUACGACAACGGUGUGCGGGUCUGUGGCACUACCAUCAGCAACUACGCGUUCCUGGGGAAGCUCAAAUGCAUCACCACGGCGAUGUUCCAGUCUGGGUGACCUGCGCAAUCUGGUCCUCGUACCUUCAUCUGAUUGGCGGCUUUGAAGUGUUCACAACAGGUUGAAAAAGUUUCUGAAAACUUAAAAAUGGGAAAUUGGAACUUUUACACAGCUUGGACGAAAUAAAUUACAAUAUAUUAUGAGCAUGA